rnacentral:rRNA from 1 species
UAGGGAAUUUUCGUCAAUGGGCGCAAGCCUGAACGAGCAAUGCCGCGUGAACGAGGAAGGUCUUCGGAUCGUAAAGUUCUGUUGAAGGGGAAAAAAGGAAGC